AAGUCCAUGGUGUGGACAUUUUUGAAGUAAAUUUCUAAACCUUUUCCACUCUUUAUAUAAUGAUUCACCAUCUUGUUGACUAAAAUUAGUUAUAUCCAUUCUAAACUU